GAUAACUGUGGUAAUUCUAGAGCUAAUACAUGCAAACAGAGCUCCGACCGACACGGAAGGAGCGCUUUUAUUAGAACAAAACCNAUCGGUGUAGGGUUUCGGCCCGUCAUCGUACAACCUGGUGACUCUGAAUAACUUUAAGCUGAUCGCACGGUCUCGCACCGGCGACGCAUCUUUCAAAUGUCUGCCUUAUCAACUGUCGAUGGUAGGUUCUGCGCCUACCAUGGUCGUAACGGGUAACGGGGAAUCAGGGUUCGAUUCCGGAGAGGGAGCCUGAGAAACGGCUACCACAUCCAAGGAAGGCAGCAGGCGCGCAAAUUACCCACUCCCGGCACGGGGAGGUAGUGACGAAAAAUAACGAUACGGGACUCAUCCGAGGCCCCGUAAUCGGAAUGAGUACACUCUAAACCCUUUAACGAGGAUCAAUUGGAGGGCAAGUCUGGUGCCAGCAGCCGCGGUAAUUCCAGCUCCAAUAGCGUAUAUUAAAGUUGUUGCGGUUAAAAAGCUCGUAGUCGAAUUUGUGUCCCGCGCCGCCGGUUCAUCGUCCGCGGUGUCAACUGGCGUGUCGCGGGACGUCCUGCCGGUGGGCUUAGCUCGCAAGGGCGGCCCAACUCAAUCCCGCCGCGGUGCUCUUCAUCGAGUGUCGAGGUGGGCCGGCACGUUUACUUUGAACAAAUUAGAGUGCUUAAAGCAGGCUAAAACUUCGCCUGAAUACUGUGUGCAUGGAAUAAUGGAAUAGGACCUCGGUUCUAUUUUGUUGGUUUUCGGAACCCCGAGGUAAUGAUUAAUAGGA
rnacentral:rRNA from 1 species